UUUUGAUAAUUUCUAUAUGAUGGGUUUCUUUUGUAAUCCUAUUUGUUUUACGUGUUUUAAAACGAUAUUCUAAGAAAGAGAGUUUAUAAGCUUCUCUACACUGCCAAAAGGGUUUAUGUCACAAGAUUAAAACUCCUAAUCUAGAAACUUGGUUGAUAUAGACAAUUUUUGUGUCUUUAACAAUAUUUCUUUUGAUCAGGUGUGGGCAAUAAUAGUGAAGGUGGAAGAGGAAAGGCAGGUGCAAAGCUUUUCCAAGAUUUUCAGAUGUUAAGUAGAAUAUGGACUCAUCCUUGGUGUUUGCAGCUAGACUACAUUAGCAAAGAAAAUAAGGGUUAUUUUGACGAAGACAGUAUGGAUGAAUUUAUAGCCUCAGAUUCUGAUGAAACCUCCAUGAGUUUAAGCUCCGAUGAUUAUACAAAAAAGAAGAAAAAAGGGAAAAAGGGAAAAAAAGAUAGUAGCUCAAGUGGAAGUGGCAGUGACAAUGAUGUUGAAGUGAUUAAGGUGUGGAAUUCAAGAUCUCGGGGAGGUGGUGAAGGAAAUGUGGAUGAAACAGGAAACAAUCCUUCUGUUUCUUUAAAGCUGGAAGAAAGUGAGUCUAAUGAAUGUUGUCUUUAUCAUGGAACAGUGAUUUGGAAAAUGUCAUAUCGUUAGUCCUUUUUUCAGUCACUUACCUGGCUAAUUGACUCAAAGGAAUUUCUUUCCUCAAUUGAUGAGUCUAAUCAAGUACUCAUAAUUACAGUAAAUAUCUGAUGAAUCUUUAAUUAUAAGCAAGCUACUCUGCGCUCUCUG
rnacentral:lncRNA from 1 species